rnacentral:lncRNA from 1 species
GGAGAGAACAUGAGUUAGAGGAGAGAAUUACAACACAGUGUUAAGCCAUCGUACAAACAAAAGUCUACGAUCCUCUCUAAAGCGAAUUGCUUGGAGAAGAGCUUGCUCUCUAAAUUUCACAGUCUAAAGAUUGAUAUUUGGCCGAGCUACCUAAAAAAUUAUGGCAUUUUGCAUUUUCCAAAUCUCCCACUAUGCAAGGAGAAAGAUGUCCGUGAAGAAAGUCUGCCCCGCUGCUCCUCUUGCUGCUGAAAACCUGUCAUGUAUGUCUAUGUGUGAAGGCCAGAAGAUAUGCACCUUGGACCAACAGCUCUGUGCAAAAUGC